rnacentral:pre_miRNA from 1 species
AAUGGAAUUGCUGGAACAUUUGGUCAUUCUAUGUUUAACUUUUUGAGAAACUGCUAAAUUAUUUCCCACACCAGCUGCACCACUUUCAUUCCCACCAGCCAU